UGUGGUUCUCACAGCGGUUCUGCUUCCAACUAGUGCAGUGGUUCAUAAACGUUAGCAUGUAUCAGACUCUCCUGGAAGGCUUGUUAAAACCUGAAUUGCGGGGGCCCAUCUCCAGAGUUUCUUACAAGAUUUCAGUCACAGUGGUCUAAAUUAAGACCAGUCCCCCAACAGCACCAUGCAAACUUCAGUUACCACAGGACACUUCCUGCAACGACAUAGUCCAAACUUCACCGUCCUCAAAGCACUAGGGAAAUAAAAGAUGUGCAUCAGGAUCUGCAGCCAAUCACAUCCAUUCUUUCAAAGUCCAUAGAAGACUG
ensembl:lncRNA